rnacentral:rRNA from 1 species
GACGAACGCUGGCGGCGUGCCUAAUACAUGCAAGUCGAGCGAAUCGAUGGGAGCUUGCUCCCUGAGAUUAGCGGCGGACGGGUGAGUAACACGUGGGUAACCUGCCUGUAAGACUGGGAUAACUUCGGGAAACCGGAGCUAAUACCGGAUACUUUCUUUUCUCGCAUGAGGGAAGAUGGAAAGAUGGUUCUGCUAUCACUUCAGAUGGACCCGCGGCGCAUUAGCUAGUUGGUGAGGUAACGGCUCACCAAGGCAACGAUGCGUAGCCGACCUGAGAGGGUGAUCGGCCACACUGGGACUGAGACACGGCCCAGACUCCUACGGGAGGCAGCAGUAGGGAAUCUUCCGCAAUGGACGAAAGUCUGACGGAGCAACGCCGCGUGAGCGAAGAAGGCCUUCGGGUCGUAAAGCUCUGUUGUUAGGGAAGAACAAGUACGAGAGUAACUGCUCGUACCUUGCCGGUACCUAACCAGAAAGCCACGGCUAACUACGUGCCAGCCGCCGCAGAAACAC